GACGAACGCUGGCGGCGUGCUUAACACAUGCAAGUCGAACGGUAAGGCCCUUCGGGGUACACGAGUGGCGAACGGGUGAGUAACACGUGGGUGAUCUGCCCUGCACUUCGGGAUAAGCCCGGGAAACCGGGUCUAAUACCGGAUAGGACUGCGCGGUGCAUGCCGUGUGGUGGAAAGAUUAUCGGUGCAGGAUGGGCCCGCGGCCUAUCAGCUUGUUGGUGGGGUAAUGGCCUACCAAGGCGACGACGGGUAGCCGGCCUGAGAGGGCGACCGGCCACACUGGGACUGAGGCACGGCCCAGACUCCUACGGGAGGCAGCAGUGGGGAAUAUUGCACAAUGGGCGCAAGCCUGAUGCAGCGACGCCGCGUGAGGGAUGACGGCCUUCGGGUUGUAAACCUCUUUCAGCAGGGACGAAGCGUGAGUGACGGUACCUGCAGAAGAAGCACCGGCCAACUACGUGCCAGCAGCCGCCGUAA
rnacentral:rRNA from 1 species